UUUACCAUUGGGUUCAGAUAAUAUUGUGGUCUGUUGGAUGGUUGUAGAUGAAGAGGAAAUACCUUUGUUCAUUGUUUCUGCUGUUGUUACAGAAGGUGAUGUCACUAAUGUUGAUGGAAAAGUCUUCAGGGUCCAGUUUGGUUCUGAAGUUGUAGCUGUGAGAAAUUAAACAUUCAUGAUACCAAUGAAGAUGUUUGUCUGUGUGAGUCUCAGUUUGAACAUGUUGGAUGAUUUGAUCAGUUAAAAACAUUUGAACUCAGAUUUAAACCCAGUUUUGGAUCAGAAGCUGUCAGUGAGCAGAGUUUACUUUCAGAAACAUGGAGGAACAUUUUCAGGAGAGAA